GGCCGAAUAGUUUAGAUAUUGGACUAGGAUUCUGGAAGACUAGGGUUCAACUCCCUAUUUGUCCA
rnacentral:tRNA from 1 species